rnacentral:tRNA from 1 species
GCGCCCGUAGCUCAAUUGGAUUAGAGCGCUUGACUACGGAUCAGGAGGUUAGGGGUUCGACUCCUCUCGGGCGCGCCA